rnacentral:lncRNA from 1 species
CCAGCUGCCAUGAGCAACGCCGUCAAACACAGCCACCCACCUGGGCACAGAUCAAGAAGCUGUACAGAUGACAGAAGAAAACCUGAGGAAAGCAGGACAACCAGUCACGAUGAAUAAUUUAAUGGAUUUACAUAUCCCAGAGACACUGUGGUGUGCGAGGCACUGACGGAUGCUUCUAGGUGGACAAUGUGUAUCUCCUGAAGAGUCUGUUUAAUCUGAAGAUUCUCAAAAUUCCUAAUCUAUGAAAAGCUUAAGUUUCCUUUAAGUUGAUUCCUACGAAAAUAUUUAUUAAUUCCUCCAGUAGUGUUCCUUUUUCUACACUGAGAUUUGUACAGGCUCAAGAAUAUGCUGUCACUGUGUUUUGGGAUCUUUGGGGUGUCAAUUUUAUUUCCAGAAAUUUCUGUGGCUGGUGGUGCCUUUGCCUGGGUUCUUGUCCUAUGUUGAGGAAGAAUGAGGUGCACAGACAAGUGAAGGGUGAGGAAGACCACAAGGAACUUUAUUUAGUGUUAGAACAGCUCAGUGGAGACCAACAGUAGGUAGCUCCCCUCUGUAGGCAGGCAGGUCACUUGUGGAGCAUUCCACUUUCAGCAGGGAGGGUAGCUUCUCUCUGCAGCUGGUCCUCUGGAUGGCUACUGCUCUCAGCAGAGAGGAGGUCCUGGAGAGGGUAGCUCCUCUUCACAGGCAGGUUGUUUGGUUGUCUCUGUAGGUCUCUGAAG